AUGCAUGCUGGGUGUGGGGAAGUCGUGAAAGAAAAGAAGUCAGCUGCGUCGUUUGACAUCACUGCUAUCUUCUUACUGGUUAUGCAGGUCGUAGUGGGUGGCACACAAAGCUUUGCACUGGAUUGCGAGGCUUUGUGCUUCUCUGGAGUGCGACAGGUUUGA
rnacentral:antisense_RNA from 2 species